GGUCCCCCGCUGUCGCGUGUCAUGCUCAUGUAAUCGCGAGCAACUUUCUUUUCCAACGACGGGGCACAACGAUCGACGGAGGGAAGACGAGUCUCUCGGCGAUUCGAUGAAACAUUUAUGUUCGCCCGCACGUGGGACUAUACACAGGUGAAAAGACAGAGCAGACAGACAGAGACGCAUACACGAGCAAUGAUGAUGAUGAGGAUGAUAAUCCAAUCGUGAGUAUGUACGAUCAGGAAGAAGGACGACGAUCGCGACGAAAGAUGUGCGUCUUGAUUGACGAGUUAUUGCCUCUAUCUUUACUUCAGCGCUUUCCCUUGGAGGAACGCACUCUCUUAUAAUCGAGAAUAGCGCCUUUUGCGCCUUUUCCGCUUGUCGAUAGUCUGCCAGCAACUGCAUAGUAACACAGAUAACACCGUCUUUACACGCCGGUCGAUAUCGCCGCGCGAUUAUUUAGUCACUGACAUUCCGCCGAUGACGUCUGUAGUGGUCGAUACAGAGUGAUUUGCCUAUAGUCGUACUAACUCGUCAAUUGAUUCUAACUUUCGAAUAGAUGACUUAAUUGAAGCAUCGAUGGUACAAUGACACAGAACUUAAUUGAAAUUUUGAUACUGUGUCUGCUCCUUUAUCCCGAAGAGAGAAGAGGAAAGCGUCAAGGACGAUUUUCGCGUUUAACUUCCACGUUCACGGACACGCCGCCGGUAUCUCUCUUUCUCACUCGUAUAAUGUAUACACGAUGCUGGCGAAGAACCGACUGUGCCGCUUUGCCACUCGGAUCCUCAUCUAUAUCCACCCGCGCUUGUGCGCGCCGUCGCUCUGUUCGUGCACGUGACAGAACGUUCGGUACACGCGAAUGUUACAACACUUAAUCGCAGAGAUGAAUUCGGAACCAAUCUUAGAUUAAUUGGAGCAAUCAGCUCCGGAAAUAAAAGAUUGCCUAUACAUAUGAAUAUCACAUCAGCCUUCAUAUUGCGUAAUACAUAUUGCGUAUAGAUUUUUUACUUGUAAAGUAUAAGAAAGAAUAUAAAAAGUUGCCUGUCAUGUAGAUUAUAAUAAUAUUCGAGUCGAACUAACUGAAAAAACGGCGAUAAAUCUGAUAGAAAUUGCGCGAAAAAUACGGCGUCCUUUUCGGAAAUCACGUUGAAAAAUCGUGCACGAGAUUCUUUCGAUCGUGAGAUGCAAUCGUAAAGAAUUUUGACAAUGGAUUAUAAAAUCGAGAAGAAAACCGAUGUCCUUCUUCUUUUUACGACCGGUUGACAGGCCGAGUUGUAGCAGUUUCCUACACACGUGCGAUGUGUAUGCAUUGAGAGAAACACAAAUGUCUCGAAACCGGUUUUCGAAGCUCGUCCCCGGUUGCCAUAAGCUUUAUGGCCGAAAGAAAGCAAGUCUCGAGAAUCUCAAUGCACCACCUUCGAUGCUGUGCACAAGAAGCUUGAAGUUUGGAUGUCGAUGUAAAUGCAUUUUUUAAUUUUCCCAAAA